rnacentral:rRNA from 1 species
GACGUAGGGCGCGAGCGUUGUCCGGAUUUAUUGGGCGUAAAGAGCUCGUAGGCGGCUUGUCGCGUCGUCCGUGAAAACUUGGGACUCAACCCCAAGCUUGCGGUCGAUACGGGCAGGCUGGAGUUCGGUAGGGGAGAAUGGAAUUCCCGGUGUAGCGGUGAAAUGCGCAGAUAUCGGGAAGAACACCCGUGGCGAAGGCGGUUCUCUGGGACGGUACUGACGCUGAGACGCGAAAGCGUGGGGAGCGAACAGG